AACCUUGAAACUCACUUACCUGGAUGGGGUCAAUGGGAGAUCAAGAAGUCUCAUGGUCUAGAUCAGUGGCCUACAUUGCACCUUGUGGGCGCACUGGUUUACCAUCUCCCUACGGGGAGAGUGGACGUCAUAAUUUAUGAUAGAGGGGGUACAUGUUCGCGCGGCCCCUACCAACGCUCAAACAAAAAGAUUACCUGUUAUGUAAAUAUUUCAAGCACAAAAUUCAAACUGUUGUGCCAACAAAGAUAUCAACAGAUGAGAAUACAUAAUUCAGUUAUCUAA
rnacentral:rRNA from 1 species